AUUGAACGCUGGCGGCAUGCCUUACACAUGCAAGUCGAACGGUAACAGGUCUUCGGAUGCUGACGAGUGGCGAACGGGUGAGUAUACAUCGGAACGUGCCUAGUAGUGGGGGAUAACUACUCGAAAGAGUGGCUAAUACCGCAUGAGAUCUACGGAUGAAAGCAGGGGAUCGCAAGACCUUGUGCUACUAGAGCGGCCGAUGGCAGAUUAGGGAGUUGGUGGGUUAAAAGCUUACCAAGCCGACGAUCUGUAGCUGGUCUGAGAGGAACAUCCGCCACACUGGGACUGAGACACGGCCCAGACUCCUACGGGAGGCAGCAGUGGGGAAUUUUGGACAAUGGGCGCAAGCCUGAUCCAGCAAUGCCGCGUGCAGGAUGAAGGCCUUCGGGUUGUAGACUGCUUUUGUACGGAACGAAAAGCCCUGGGUUAAUACCCUGGGGUCAUGACGGUACCGUAAGAAUAAGCACCGGCUAACUACGUGCCAGCCGCCGCGGUAA
rnacentral:rRNA from 1 species